GUAGGUGGCAAGCGUUGUCCGGAAUUAUUGGGCGUAAAGCGCGCGCAGGCGGGUCCUUUAAGUCUGAUGUGAAAGCCCACGGGCUCAACCGUGGAGGGUCAUUGGAAACUGGGGGACUUGAGUACAGAAGAGGAAAGCGGAAUUCCGAGUGUAGCGGUGAAAUGCGUAGAGAUUUGGAGGAACACCAGUGGCGAAGGCGGCUUUCUGGUCUGUAACUGACGCUGAGGCGCGAAAGCGUGGGGAGCAAACAGGAUUAGAUACCCUGGUAGUCCACGCCGUAAACGAUGAGUGCUAAGUGUUAGGGGGUUUCCGCCCCUUAGUGCUGCAGCUAACGCAUUAAGCACUCCGCCUGGGGAGUACGGCCGCAAAGGCUG
rnacentral:rRNA from 1 species